ACCACUUCCUCAGGUCAGGUGAACUCUUGAGCUGUGGCCAGACUGCCCUGCACCUUCUCCGGCGUCUCCAUAGUAACCUCUGCGCUCUCCAUCGUCUCCACGCAGUUUGCCGUUGCUCCGGUAAAAGUGCGCCAUUCCUCUGAUAGUCGCAGCCGUUACUGCCUGGGUAACACAAUAGAGGAAAACACUCGCUGGGCCUGAUCUUUCCUAAUUGGGGCAACACAGACCCAACGUCCCGCCCCCUAUCCAAUCAAGCCUCAGUUACAGUUAAAGGGGAGCUCCGCUAUUUUUCACUACCACACCUGUUUACAGGGCCGUGCCGCUUCCGUCUGCCAAACGCCUGGGCACCCACGUUGGUGGGAACGAAGUUGCUGUGUCCCAGUCCUCCUGACCGACUCAGGAAGUCAGCCAGACGGAAUAAUGUCACAACUCUCACCUGGAAGGAGCUGCCUGCGAGACAUACAUCUGACAGAUGAUCAGCGCAGAGGCAAAAAGGAGAGUCCAGAGUUUCAGCAUUAUUCUGAUUCCCUGUGGAAAACACAUACAAUACCAAACAAGGUGAAGUUGCAGAGGCAGAUAGAAGAGUUAUUAGUGAUAUAGUGACACUGGAGGCUUUGCCAGCAGCUCUGUCCAUUAGCUGAAUUAGCUGUAGCCUUACAUAGAUAGUAUAACGUCAUCACACCAACAAAGCUGCAUCUCCCUUCUUAUAGCAACCAGUAUCCACCAGUGGCUAUCCAGUCCACUCA